ACACGCUGCGGCUGAUGGUGACAAAAACAAUCACUUGUAGUGUGCUCUUGCGGUUCAGAGGUUUAUGAAAGAAUUGCAGUGCAAAUAUUAGAUCGUUGACAGAAGUCUGGACGUUUUCAGCAAAUACUGCAGGAACAAUUGCUACCCUGAUACCCUUUACAGCAGCAGCCGGAGCGGUUUCAUUCGGUUCUCACGCCCCAGCCUUGACAUUGACAUGCACGAGAUAAGAUUGGUAGAGCGUAGUAUAUGGCACAGCAGGCAACAUGCAGAAAAAACCAUUAGUUCUAAAUUGAAAUCCAGCGUAAAAUGUGGCUACAGGAGCAUACGGCCGUGGAAAAUUGUGGAUCAGAAUUCAAAGAGCACCAGACAUGACGUGACGUGCUGGAAGCAGUAUCAGUCGCAUUGCAGUUGGGCGCCGUAUUGGGCAGACACUCUACACGUGGAGUUGAGCGCUCUACUCAAAGAGACACCACUUGAGCGCAGCCGGGAAACAGGGAUCAGCCGCUGUAACGUGCCAGCUCAGUUUCUGGAUCGAUCACAUACGUCGUUGCGCCAGGGGCAAGAACCUGUGCCACUUCAAGGGGCUCACGGAACAGACGCUGGAAUAUACGCUUCAGUUUCAUGACACUUAUGGUCGGUGGAAUGGUUUUCUGGUGCUGGCAGUCGUGGUGCUGCAGUGUCACCGUCAAAGGAGCCGGUGUCAGCUGGAUAGCAGAAGCCGGGAUAACUUCAUCUUGCUCCAGAGGUCCCAGUCUGGCAACUAUGUCCAGAAAGCGUGGAUGACGGGAUAAAAACAGGGAGCGUCGCUCGUCGUUCCCGGAACAGGAAAGAUAUUCGCGCGCGAAAUGCCGCAUGUAAUCCAGCUCGGAAUCGCGCCGCUCACUCGUACUGAUCUAGAGAAAGUUUAUUUGGCAACUUUAUUUUCAUUCAGCAACUCUAUACAGUAAAACCUCCCUGAUACGUACACUCUUAUGUACGUACACCCUCUGUAUUAAGUUCACCAAAACGUUAUUCAAAAUUACUGUAAACUGCAAAAUACACCUCUGAGUUCCGUACACCCUCUACAUUACGUACGAAAUUUUUAACGGAGGUGUACGUAUAAGAGAGGUUUCACUGUAUAUAUCAUUUAGCAACUUUAUUUUCGCCUCGAUCCGUAUGCUAUUUCAAAUGCACCCAUAGCUUUAAAUAAAAAACUGAAAACCCGUAUAUUAAUCAAAA